AAGGAUUUAAGUUAGACUAAACUAUUAACCUUCAAAGCUAAAAAUAAACCAAAAGCUUUAAGCCUUA
rnacentral:tRNA from 1 species